UCAGAAGUAGUUCAAAGGUAGAACGUGCGCCUUUCACGCCCAAGAUCCGAGUUCAAUUCCCGGCUUCUGAA